rnacentral:rRNA from 1 species
AGAGUUUGAUCCUGGCUCAGGACGAACGCUGGCGGCGUGCCUAAUACAUGCAAGUCGAACGAAACUUUCUUACACCGAAUGCUUGCAUUCACCGUAAGAAGUUGAGUGGCGGACGGGUGAGUAACACGUGGGUAACCUGCCUAAAAGAAGGGGAUAACACUUGGAAACAGGUGCUAAUACCGUAUAUCUCUAAGGAUCGCAUGAUCCUUAGAUGAAAGAUGGUUCUGCUAUCGCUUUUAGAUGGACCCGCGGCGUAUUAACUAGUUGGUGGGGUAACGGCCUACCAAGGUGAUGAUACGUAGCCGAACUGAGAGGUUGAUCGGCCACAUUGGGACUGAGACACGGCCCAAACUCCUACGGGAGGCAGCAGUAGGGAAUCUUCCACAAUGGACGCAAGUCUGAUGGAGCAACGCCGCGUGAGUGAAGAAGGUCUUCGGAUCGUAAAACUCUGUUGUUAGAGAAGAACACGAGUGAGAGUAACUGUUCAUUCGAUGACGGUAUCUAACCAGCAAGUCACGGCUAACUACGUGCCAGCAGCCGCGGUAAUACGUAGGUGGCAAGCGUUGUCCGGAUUUAUUGGGCGUAAAGGGAACGCAGGCGGUCUUUUAAGUCUGAUGUGAAAGCCUUCGGCUUAACCGGAGUAGUGCAUUGGAAACUGGAAGACUUGAGUGCAGAAGAGGAGAGUGGAACUCCAUGUGUAGCGGUGAAAUGCGUAGAUAUAUGGAAGAACACCAGUGGCGAAAGCGGCUCUCUGGUCUGUAACUGACGCUGAGGUUCGAAAGCGUGGGUAGCAAACAGGAUUAGAUACCCUGGUAGUCCACGCCGUAAACGAUGAAUGCUAGGUGUUGGAGGGUUUCCGCCCUUCAGUGCCGCAGCUAACGCAAUAAGCAUUCCGCCUGGGGAGUACGACCGCAAGGUUGAAACUCAAAGGAAUUGACGGGGGCCCGCAC